CUUAACGGAAAGCGCUCGAGCAGUAUACUGUACUGUUGCUAUGGUUAUGACUAACUUUAGCAUAUAACUUUUAAUAUAUUAUUUCAGUAAGUUAAAGAACCUGUAAUGGGCUACAUUAACAGUUUAUCAUUACUCUCUUACCUCAUCGGAGGGCGGGUGUUUUUGACGUCACUUUGGGUUUAAAAGUCCCACGACUGCCCCAUCACUCACUGAGCACUGACCCUUGGUCCAGCAGGAAACUUCUCUGGAAGAAGACGACACAGGCAUAACAAUGAAUACAGUUUGGAUACUGUGUUUUGCGAUGCUGAUCAUCACCGUACCAUUUUCAACUCAGGAUAGCUCUGCUCAGAAGUCCUCAGGUGGACGCAGUAGCUCAUCACCCAGCACGUCCAGUACUUCCACAAAUUCCAGUGCCGUAGGAUUGGGUCCUGUGCCCACCACACUGUACCUGCUGAUCCCUGCAGCCACCCUGGGCUUCAUCCACACUAGAUCCUAAACUGAUGGAUGGAGAGCAUUCGCCAUUGAUGACCAAUAAUGAGACAGUGGUGAAAUUAACAAGCCAUUCACCCAAAGAGCAAACUUCCACAAAUUUCGAAGAUAGAAGACACCACAACUCACAUUUUUGUAAUGGAUUUUAACUAAUGAAAUUGAGUAAAGUUUGGAGAAUUUCUCCAAGAGGGAUUUGUUUGGUUGCACCUGUUUUAGGGAGCUUGAAAGACACCUGCAACUCAGGAUCCUGCUACAGAACCACACCAAUGGGCUCUUUGUCGUGUUUUGCUCCAAAGUCACUGUUUGUUUCUCCUAUGCUCAGUAUAUGAUUGAGGUUAAGCAGAUUAAAGAACUCCAUUACUUAAAUCAGUAAUCACGCAUUUACAAUUUCAGCCCAAUUUCCAUUUCUAUAAUGACAUUAUGUGUACUACAGAUUUUAAAUUUACUAAAUGUGAUCAAUGUACUCCAUCUCAGAAUGUGUCUGUAUGCACAAAUAAAUUAGAUUAUUGUAUAUGUAUGU
rnacentral:lncRNA from 1 species